CUCUUCGGCUUUUCGUGGAAGGAAGCGUUCCGAUGGUUAGACGAUCCAUUUGCUAUCAACACCCGCUAAAUGGAGGGCUGUGCAUGCCGUCGUUGAUGAUGUGCAGACAUGCGUUGUGACUGCGGCAUCUCCGGCGCUUCAAAGACGCCGGAGAAGAGGGGUGGUCGGCU